CAUUCUAAAAUUAUGUGAGAAUGUAAAAUCAUUUGUUCAAUAAAGAGACGAUAAAACCAUGUCUUACUUUCCACAAUUUUCUCCAAGAAGUCCCUUCUUACAAUCUUUUCAGAAUGAAUUAUAUGGUACGAUUCAAAAAUUGAAAGGAGACGCAAAAGAUGCACUGAAACACAAUAAUAAUGCUUUUGCCCUUGAUGCUUAUAACGAAGCAAUAUCUUUAGCAUUGCGAAUUUCACUUCGACCAGAAGAAUUGGGAACAUUGCAUUGCAAUAGGUCACUGGUUUAUUUCAACUUAAAAGAUUACAAAAACAGUUUGCACGAUGCAACGCAAGCCACAAUUUGCUAUCCGGGAUUUAACAAGGGGUAUUUUAGACAAGGUUUGGCACACAAAGGUCUAAAUGAACCAGUCACUGCCUUAUCACGAUUUAUAGAGGCAAUUAAUGUAUGUCGACAGAUAAAUAGCAAAGCACAAGACGUGGUUGCUUGUUAUGCGGCAAUGAUAAAUAUUCUAUGUGAAGUUGAAGAUAUAUUUGAUUUAGAAUCACAAAUAACAGAUCCAGAUACAAACGAAGUUAAGGAUUUAAUCCUUCAACGACUAUCUUCAAAUGGUCAAUGGAAAGCCAUUUCCUAUUUAUUACUUGGUGCUAUUACAGGCGCUGAUUCAAAACUUGCUGGAAGUUUCUCAAACUGUAGUUGCUCUGACUCGUCAGUUCUGAAUGUGCUUGCUGAGACUUCAGACACACAGAAAAAAGAUUGGGGCUGCAAAUUGGCAAUUAAAUUACUACAAAAUGGUGCUUCGUUCCAGGAAUUCGAGAAUGGAUUAAACGAAAAUGUUAUUCGCUUCGGGAUAAACAUUACUUUA